rnacentral:rRNA from 1 species
CAUGCAAGUCGAGCGGUAAGGCCCCUUCGGGGGUACACGAGCGGCGAACGGGUGAGUAACACGUGGGUGACCUGCCCUCAGCUCUGGGAUAAGCCUGGGAAACUGGGUCUAAUACCGGAUAUGACUCCAUGACGCAUGUCGUGGGGUGGAAAGCCUUGUGCGGCUGGGGAUGGGCCCGCGGCCUAUCAGCUUGUUGGUGGGGUGAUGGCCUACCAAGGCGACGACGGGUAGCCGGCCUGAGAGGGCGACCGGCCACACUGGGACUGAGACACGGCCCAGACUCCUACGGGAGGCAGCAGUGGGGAAUAUUGCGCAAUGGGCGGAAGCCUGACGCAGCGACGCCGCGUGGGGGAUGACGGCCUUCGGGUUGUAAACCUCUUUCGACCGGGACGAAGGGUGACUGACGGUACCGGUAGAAGAAGCACCGGCCAACUACGUGCCAGCAGCCGCGGUAAUACGUAGGGUGCGAGCGUUGUCCGGAAUUAUUGGGCGUAAAGAGCUCGUAGGCGGUGUGUCGCGUCGGUCGUGAAAACUUGGGGCUUAACCCCGAGCUUGCGGUCGAUACGGGCAUCACUUGAGUUCGGCAGGGGAGACUGGAAUUCCUGGUGUAGCGGUGAAAUGCGCAGAUAUCANGAGGAACACCGGUGGCGAAAGCGGGUCUCUGGGCUGAUACUGACGCUGA